rnacentral:tRNA from 3 species
GUCCCAGUGGCCUAAUGGAUAAGGCAGUAGCCUCCGGAGCUGCGGAUGCGGGUUCAAUUCCUGCCUGGGACGCCA